GUAGGGAAUAUUGCGCAAUGGGGGAAACCCUGACGCAGCGACGCCGCGUGAGUGAUGAAGGCCUUCGGGUCGUAUAGCUCUGUUGCAGGGGAAUAAAAAAAUGAAAGUACCCUGUGAGGAAGGAUCGGCUAACUUCGUGCCAGCAGCCGCGGUAAGACGAGGGAUCCUAGCGUUGCUCGGAAUCAUUGGGCGUAAAGAGGGCGUAGGUGGCUUGGUAAGUCAGGUGUGAAAGCCCAGGGCUCAACACUGGAAGUGCAUUUGAUACUGCUGAGCUUGAGUGUCGGAGAGGUUACCGGAAUACCUGGUGUAGUGGUGAAAUACGUAGAUAUCAGGUGGAACACCGGAGGCGAAGGCGGGUAACUGGACGAACACUGACACUGAGGCCCGAAAGCGUGGGGAUCAAACAGGAUUAGAUACCCUUGUAGUCC
rnacentral:rRNA from 1 species